rnacentral:rRNA from 1 species
AUGAACGCUGGCGGCGUGCUUAACCCAUGCCAGUCGAACGAAGCACUUUAUUUGAUUUCCUUCGGGACUGAUUAUUUUGUGACUGAGUGGCGGACGGGUGAGUAACGCGUGGGUAACCUGCCUUGUACAGGGGGAUAACAGUUGGAAACGGCUGCUAAUACCGCAUAAGCGCACGGCAUCGCAUGAUGCAGUGUGAAAAACUCCGGUGGUAUAAGAUGGACCCGCGUUGGAUUAGCUAGUUGGUGAGGUAACGGCCCACCAAGGCGACGAUCCAUAGCCGACCUGAGAGGGUGACCGGCCACAUUGGGACUGAGACACGGCCCAAACUCCUACGGGAGGCAGCAGUGGGGAAUAUUGCACAAUGGGCGAAAGCCUGAUGCAGCGACGCCGCGUGAGCGAAGAAGUAUUUCGGUAUGUAAAGCUCUAUCAGCAGGGAAGAUAAUGACGGUACCUGAAGAAGAAGCACCGGCUAAAUACGUG